AACCGUCGCUGGUGUGCCUAAACAUGCAGUCGAACGGAGCCUGAAGGAGUAGCAAUACUUUUUCAGGUUUAGUGGCGGACGGGUGAGUAACACGUAGGUAACCUACCCUUAGGCGGGGGACAACUCAGGGAAACUUGAGCUAAUACCGCAUAAAUCCACGGGCUGGGAUGCUUGUGGGGAAAGUGGCAACACACCUAAGGAUGGGCCUGCGGCCUAUCAGGUAGUUGGUGGGGUAAGAGCCCACCAAGCCGAAGACGGGUAGCCGGGCUGAGAGGUUGAACGGCCACACUGGAACUGAGACACGGUCCAGACUCCUACGGGAGGCAGCAGUGGGGAAUCUUGCGCAAUGGGGGAAACCCUGACGCAGCGACGCCGCGUGGAGGAUGAAGGUCUUCGGGUUGUAAACUCCUUUUCUUGGGGAAAAUGAUGAUGGUACUCAAGGAAUAAGCCACGGCUAACUCUGUGCCAGCAGCCGCGGUAAGACAGAGGUGGCGAGCGUUGUUCGGAAUUACUGGGCUUAAAGGGCGAGUAGGCGGUAGGGCAAGUCUGAGGUGGAAUCCUAUGGCUUAACCAUAGAACUGCCUUAGAAACUGCUUUACUUGAGUCAGUGAGGGGAGGGCGGAAUUCCUGGUGUAGAGGUGAAAUGCGUAGAUAUCAGGAGGAAGGCCUGUGGCGAAAAGCGGCCCUCUGGCACUGUACUGACGCUGAGGCGCGAAAGCGUGGGGAGCAAACAGGAUUAGAUACCCUGGUAGUCCACGCCCUAAACGGUGGGCAUUAGGUGUAGGGCUCGUAAGGGUUCUGUGCCGAAGGGAAACCAUUAAAUGCCCCGCCUGGGAGUACGGCCGCAGGUUG
rnacentral:rRNA from 1 species